AAGUCGUAACAAGGUUUCCGUAGGUGAACCUGCGGAAGGAUCAUUACAGAAUAGAUUUCAAGGAGCUCUUCCUCACAAGAGGGAGGCUUCUUAAAACUCUACCUUCAAUCCCCCCUUCAUUAUGUGAACUUUGACACGAGUGACCCCUAUUUCAAAGAUAGGGGUACUAGACACUUGUGCUCUUUUUUCUAUACUAUCCACCUGUCAUAUGAAUGUUGGGAUAUAAUACAAAAUGAAAUAUAACUUUCAGCAAUGGAUCUCUUGGCUCUC
rnacentral:misc_RNA from 1 species